ACUUAGAUGAAGUGAAGCGCCUCAUCAGCGCAGAUCUGUCUUUAAUGUUUGACGCAAAGCGCCGCACUGUUAAUCUGAGUCGCGAGUUUGGCGCGUAUAAUUACACCUGGAGCUGUCACAUCCGCUUCCGCCGCCGCAACCAACUUAAACAUCUCUGUCAGUCCCGACCCUCGUCAAACCACCGCAAUGAAUUGAUGUUUUAAGGACAGUAUAGCAGUGACAGGAAGUGAAGUGAGAGAGAGAGAGAGGGGGGCGGGAUUGGGACUCGACUCGAUCAGCACCGAAAAAAACAAAAAACAACAAAACAGGAAAUUAUAUCAUUUGAAGGACUCCUGACGGCCCUCAUGAAUGUUUGUCAAGAGAAUUAUCAGCGCUGGUACUCGUGCAGCAGGGACUGAUGGGAGGAGGAGGUGUGAAGAAUGAGGAAGUAAGGUGCCUGAUGAAGAGGGAUUUUACUGAGCAUCCGCCUCUUUUGUCUGGAAUUGUUUUGGUCACAAGAUUAAUAAAGAAAGUGAGGCGACAGUCUAAUCAAAUAUG